rnacentral:rRNA from 1 species
UACGAAGGUGGCAAGCGUUACUCGGAAUUACUAGGCGUAAAGGGCAGGUAGGUGGUUCGAUAAGUCUGUUGUGAAAGCUCCCGGCUUAACUGGGAGAGGUCAACAGAAACUAUCGGACUUGAGUAUAGGAGAGGGUACUGGAAUUCCAGGUGUAGCGGUGAAAUGCGUAGAUAUCUGGAGGAACACCGGUGGCGAAGGCGGCAUCCUGGACCAACACUGACGCUGAGUGAGCGAAAGCCAGGGGAGCAAACGGG